rnacentral:rRNA from 1 species
GACGAACGCUGGCGGCGUGCCUAAUACAUGCAAGUCGAACGCUAACGGAGGAGUUUGCCUUUCUGGAUGAGUUGCGAAGGGGUGAGUAACGCGUAGGUAACCUGCCUGGUGGGGGGGGAUAACUAUUGGAAACGAUAGCUAAUACCGCAUAACAGUGGAUGUUGCAUGCCAUUUGCUUAAAAGGUGCAAUUGCACCCCUACCAGAUGGACUUGGGUUGUAUUAGCUGGUGGGUGGGGUAACGGCUCACAAAGGCGACGUACCGUAGCCGACCGGAGAGGUGGACGGCCCACCUGGGACUGGGACACGGCCCAGACCUCCUAGGGAGGGAGCAGGAGGGGAUCUUUGGAAAGAGACGGAAGUCUGACCGAGCAACGCCGGGGGAGGGAAGAAGGGUGUCGGAUCGGAAAGCUCCGUUGUAAGAGAAGAACGAGUGUGAGAGUGGAAAGUUCACACUGUGACGGUACCUGAACAGAAAGGGACGGCUAACUACGUG